UGUGUAGUCAGGUGGCUUAGCAACCAAAUUUGGAAGGAUAGUGCAAAAGUGGAUGAAAGCAUGACAUUUGGCACAGGGGUUGCUAACAGGUUACUUUUAGAUUUUAGAAGGGUAGCCCUCUUGGAUUUGGUGUAGUUUGCCUUGUAGGGUUCAAGAUCCAACAUGGCCGAUAAUCAUAUAUAUGAAAACGUGUGUGUGUGUGGGUGUGUGUA